rnacentral:rRNA from 1 species
UACAGAGGGUGCUAGCGUUGUUCGGAAUCAUUGGGCGUAAAGGGCGUGUAGGCGGUUUGUUAAGUCAUGUGUGGAAUCCCUCGGCUCAACCGGGGAACGACGCAUGAAACUGGCAAGCUAGAGUACCAAAGAGGGGGGUGGAAUUCCCGGUGUAGUGGUGAAAUGCGUAGAGAUCGGGAGGAACACCUGUGGCGAAGGCGGCCACCUGGGCCGACCCUGACGCUGAGGCGCGAAAGCGUGGGGAGCGAACAGG